rnacentral:rRNA from 1 species
GAUGAACGCUGGCGGCGUGCCUAAUACAUGCAAGUCGAGCGAACAGACGAGGAGCUUGCUCCUCUGACGUUAGCGGCGGACGGGUGAGUAACACGUGGAUAACCUACCUAUAAGACUGGGAUAACUUCGGCAAACCGGAGCUAAUACCGGAUAAUAUAUUGAACCGCAUGGUUCAAUAGUGAAAGACGGUUUUGCUGUCACUGAUAGAUGGAUCCGCGCCGCAUUAGCUAGUUGGUAAGGUAACGGCUUACCAAGGCAACGAUGCGUAGCCGACCUGAGAGGGUGAUCGGCGACACUGGAACUGAGACACGGGCCAGACUCCGACGGGAGGCAGCAGUAGGCAACCUUCCGCAAUGGGCGAAAGCCUGACGGAGCAACGCCGCGUGAGUGAUGAAGGUCUUCGGAUCGUAAAACUCUGUUAUUAGGGAAGAACAAAUGUGUAAGUAACUAUGCACGUCUUGACGGUACCUAAUCAGAAAGCCACGGCUAACUACGUG